GAACUUAAGCAUAUCAAUAAGCGGAGGAAAAGAAACCAACAGGGAUUGCCUCAGUAACGGCGAGUGAAGCGGCAACAGCUCAAAUUUGAAAUCUGGCCCUUUCGGGGUCCGAGUUGUAAUUUGUAGAGAGUGUUUCGGGGGAGACCACGGUCUAAGUCCAUUGGAACAUGGCGUCAUAGAGGGUGAGAAUCCCGUAUGUGACCGUGGAUCGAGCCCAUGUGAAGCCUCUUCGACGAGUCGAGUUGUUUGGGAAUGCAGCUCAAAAUGGGUGGUAAAUUUCAUCUAAAGCUAAAUACUGGCUGGAGACCGAUAGCGCACAAGUAGAGUGAUCGAAAGAUGAAAAGCACUUUGGAAAGAGAGUCAAACAGUACGUGAAAUUGUUGAAAGGGAAGCGCUUGCAACCAGACCUGCCCGUAGGCGAUCAGCCGCUGUUCUCAGUGGUGCACUCGCUCUGCGAUCAGGCCAGCAUCGGUUCGGGCGGCCGGAUAAAGGCCUUGGGAAUGUAGCUCCCUCCGGGGAGUCUUAUAGCCCUCGGUGCAAUGCGGCCAGCCGGGACCGAGGACCGCGCUUCGGCUUAGGAUGCUGGCGUAAU
rnacentral:rRNA from 1 species